AGUGAACGCUGGCGGUAGGCCUAACACAUGCAAGUCGAACGGCAGCACAGUAAGAGCUUGCUCUUACGGGUGGCGAGUGGCGGACGGGUGAGGAAUACAUCGGAAUCUACUUUUUCGUGGGGGAUAACGUAGGGAAACUUACGCUAAUACCGCAUACGACCUACGGGUGAAAGCAGGGGAUCUUCGGACCUUGCGCGAUUGAAUGAGCCGAUGUCGGAUUAGCUAGUUGGCGGGGUAAAGGCCCACCAAGGCGACGAUCCGUAGCUGGUCUGAGAGGAUGAUCAGCCACCCUGGAACUGAGACACGGUCCAGACUCCUACGGGAAGCAGCAGUGGGGAAUAUUGGACAAUGGGCGCAAGCCUGAUCCAGCCAUACCGCGUGGGUGAAGAAGGCCUUCGGGUUGUAAAGCCCUUUUGUUGGGAAAGAAAAGCAGCAGGUUAAUACCCCGCUGUUCUGACGGUACCCAAAGAAUAAGCACCGGCUAACUUCGUG
rnacentral:rRNA from 1 species